CCGUGUUGGUCAUUGGCAAUGUCAAUGGCAAAAGAUUGUUCACCAGGCAAAAUUAGUACAACCCGGUUGCAGUUGUCGAAUAAGUAUUUGUUCGCAGCUGGGAUUUUCUGCCAUAUACCAACAAUAUAUAUCAACAUUACUAGGCAUGGUUAUAUAAAAUUUCUGCCAUGAAUCCAAACAGUUCUGUCCAACAAUUCCAUAUAUCAACAGUAUAUAUAAAAUUUCUGCCCUAUAUCAACAAUAUAUAUCAACAUUACUAGCCACAUAUCAAACAGUUCUGUCGAACAAUUAUUCCAUACAUCAACAGUAUAUAUCAAACAGUUUUCUGCACGUGUAGCAGCCCAUAUAUAUGUGCACAUUUCUUGCCAUAUAUAUCAACAUUACUAGCCAUCACUGCGAGGCCCAACUAACAGCCCAAAGCCCAUCAUUUUAUCUAUGUCCAUACAUAAUUAGGAAUUUGCUUACCAUUACGCAUCCCUUGGUUACAUGUCCCUUUGUAACUUGCUUGACCCAGAAAGGGUUAUCUCUCACGAUGGGCCUCAAGUUGUGUAUUACUCAGCAUACGUAAAGAAUGCUACACAUGAUGAGCAACAAUUUGUUGCAAUUAGACUAGCAAUGUUCCAUACAAAAUAUAAGCAACCAUUUGUUACACGACAAUGUUAAUCCGCAACGGCGUAAGUCAAUAUGUUCCAUACACAAGAUAAUUAAUACAAAGCACUUUACGACCAUUACAUGAUAAGGAAUACAAAGCACUUCACGACCAUUACUGAAUUCAUAUCAAAACGAAAGUUACAAUACUAUUUGAAAAUGUGUGUUACAUAUUACAUAAUCAAUGAAAAUGUGUCUUACAUAUAACAUAAAUGUCUAGUCACGACUACAACAAUCACAGUAAUUGGCACAAUCCCACGUACAUGGGUUGCCUAAGCAGUGCAAACAAACACCAUCUUCAGGUGGUGGUAAAGAAAUGUGCUUCCAAUAGUUUGCGCAAUCACCAUGACAAGGGUUUUGAAGACAUUUUGCACAAAUCAUCUCAAGGUCUCCUCCAGAUGGUGGCGAUACAUGAAAUGGAUACAAGAAUAUAAUUCCUGGGCAUGCUUGAUUAGCGCAUUUUGCAAAACAUACCCAUUGCUUGUCAUUGUUUCCCAUUCCCUUGUGCAUUUUCAUCAAACCAUCGCACCCAAGGUUGUCACAAUGCAUGAAUGGUUCGAUUAUUGGCAAACAAGGGAGGAAUUCAAACCGCCCGUAUUGGUUAAUUUUGUAUAAAUUGCACGCUUCUCGGAUCCUUUCAUCUUCGUUAGUGAUAAUAGUUCGUUUUAGGCGGAUGAAGUCUAUUAAACUAACCAAUAUCUCUGUGCACUCCCAAAUGUCUUGAAAUCGACUAGCUAAGUGGCCUAGUUCCUUUCUUUCAACAACUCCCUCCAUCUCGUGGAAACGAGCCGAAAUAUCUGUCCAAUAACUUGUACCGGCAUGAUUAACCGGAGGACAAGUGUAUAUCGAUACCCACGCGAAACACAAGUUCACGUCUUCCUUAGGAGUCCACCACACCAUUAUCUGAGUUUGAUUCUAAUCCUAACACAAUGUCAGAUAACGUUCUAAUACAAUGAAGCAUUGACUUUACAAAAUAUGAUAAAAAUUAUAAUAUUACCAAAACAUUAUACAGUACAUGUUUUUCAUAAAACAAUUACCACCUACUCAUAGAUGUCGAAUGAAGACAGUUACCACCGACAUCCAGUUUUUUAUAAAACACUUUUUAAACCUCACGCAAACACUCUUUGCCUACAAUCGAUACUUUGCUGAUAGUUCCAAGUACACCGGGUACGCUGGAACAUACAUGUUUCUAAUAUGUGUGUAAUACUCAGGUAUCUCUUCCUCAAGGGCAAUCCAGUCAUCGUCCGUUGCAAUCACCGUACUUCUUUCAUUGUCCCAAUGAAAUCCUGGAUGCUCUUCACACAACUCAUUGAUAAGGUUCGCCAAACGUUUCAAAUAACGCAAACGACCCCAUAUGUUUUCAGCACACAAAUCCAGCCUAGUGUGUUGAUUUAAAACAUCAGAAGCCUUUACCAUUCCCGACCUAAGACGGACCAUAAGUGGACCUGGUGUCUCGUCUGCCAGCAUAGCAGUGCACAUCGUGUGGUCCGUAUCUGGAGUCCACGCGAACAAACGCCGUCCUAGACGGGGAUUUUUUGGGGUGUGAAUAAUUCGCACCAUUCCCACUGACUGAAAUAAUUCAUCGCAGUCAGUUUACAUUAGACACAUACAACUACAACAUAUAUAUAUAUUCUGAACUCGACACAACUCGACAACACAAAGUACUAAAAUGUGACAAGAAUAUUUAAGGACUAAAGCAUUCCCACUGACUGGAACAAUCCAUCGCAGUCAGUUUACAUCACACACAUACAACUGGUUCCUCUCUAUAUAUAUAUUCUGAACUCGACACAACUCGACAACACAAAGUACUAAAAUGUGACAAGAAUAUUUAAGGACUAAAGCAUUCCCACUGACUGGAACAAUCCAUCGCAGUCAGUUUACAUCACACACAUACAACUGGUUCCUCUAUAUAUAUUUUCGGAACCCGACACAACUCGACAACACAAAGUAAUAAAAUGUGACAAGAAUAUUUCAGGACUAAACCAUUCAAGCCAUUCAGAUAAACAAAAGUUCAAACCAUAGAUAGAUAAGAAAAGAAGUCAUAUCUGUUUUACAUUAGUUUAUACAAACCACUGACAAAGUUAACUAGUUUAGACAAAGUUAAGAAAAUGCAGUCAUAUCAGUUCCCCAGGAUUAUCAAGACACACAUCAAGACAGAUGAAGACAACUACGAAUCAGCCCACUCAUCCCCAUUGAAAGGCUUAACAUAGUUAAGCUUAUCAACCAACCAAUCAGCCCUCAGAUCAGCGUCCAUCCCAAGAAAUAUCUUCGCUUGCUUGUCCUCGACACCUAGAAAGUCGAGACCCUUCAGAUACAGGACUCUGUCCCCCUUGCUUACAACCUUGAUUGCAUCACACAAUUCAUCGAUGUUCGGACCAGCAAAUGCCGUUGCCAAGGUCUUAACAGCAUCCAUGAUGCCCUGUGCAUACUCAGAGUUGCUUGGUUGUUCCUGGGGUCCGAAACGCGACUUCUUGCGCUUGGACUGAACAGGUUGCACUGGGGGUGGAAUUGGGUGCAUGCGAGGGGCAGAAUCACUGCAGUUGCUUGAGCUCUCAUUAUUUGAUGCACCGGUUGCACUUGUGUCGAACGUUCCAACACCGGCACCAUCAUCCAUGUAAGAGUACGAAUCAGCCCCCAAUCCAUCUACGAUUGUAUACAUUCACAAUCUACGAAUCAGCCCCAGAUUAAAAUGUACAACGAUUUUAAUAAACACAAAAGGGCUGUAUCUUACCACUGCCUGCAGGUGACCCCUCAACUUGUUCAUCAUCAACUUCAUCACCUGCGAAUGCUCCUUCACCAGUUGCAGUUUCGUUGCCGAUGAUGAGGCUCAAUUGUUCAAAGUAUGGAAAAUGCUUCCCACGAACAUUACGUGAUUCAGGAUGAGCCUACAAAGCACACUUGUGUUAAUCAUUUUGUCAAGUUUACGACCCAACAAUUACCAAACUCAUAAACAAAUGUGCCUUACCACAAAGUACCGUUCCCAAACAUCCUCAUCUGCAGCAAUAACAGUCUUGUUUUCGGUGUCAAAAGUAAAUCCCAAACCAGACAAAUCCAGAAGUUCCUUUACAAUCUUGUAGUCCUUCCUAAGUGUCUUCAGGCGAGUCCGUACAUGUUCAGAACUAACAUUCAUACGGAGGGCUGAAUUGACACCAUCUGCAGCUGCUUUCAAUGAUUCGGUUCUUAAGCCAUUGUCAGCUCUCUUACCGUUUCUCAACACUUCUUCAUACAAAGUGUUCAACAUCACCUCUUCCAUUUGUUUGGUCCACCUUAUGUGGCACUUAACUGGCUUGUCAGUUGGGAAGUAAGGGUCCGCUGAAUCUUGUCCAUUGCCCUUCCUGGUCUUUCUAGGCUUCUUGAACUGUCCGUUCGACAUAGUUGUACCUAAUCAUCCCACACUCACAGUUAUAGACAGAUAUGAACCAUACACAAGCGUAUUAUUCCAAACAACUUAUCAAAUAGUCCAAAUGGAACAUCCAAACAUAAUCUCGCUCAUAACACUAUCAAAUAGUCCAAACCACAAAUUAUUCCAACUUAUUACAAUUAUUGGCAAAUUACCUCUUCCAUUAUUCGAACUUAUUUCAAACAACCCAAACAAAUUAUUUCAAACAACUCAUCAAAUACUCAAGCACAACACUACCACACUCACAACCCUAAUAAAAUCAACGAAACCUCAAAACUAUUCCAGCUCAUGGUAAUUCUGAUAAUUAGUCCACAUUUCCUUCUUCAAGUCAUCACGCCACUUACUCCAAGACCGUGAUGCGGAUAUGAGUAUUCCACCGCCUUGCGCAUUAUCUGCCUCGGGGGGAACGGGUUCUUCGGGUUCCUCUAAAUCAGGUUCCACUACAUCAGCUGGAUCGAUAUCUUUGAGGAAGUUGUGAAUUGCACAACACGCCAAUAUUAUCUUUGUGUGUGUCUUCACAUCAUGGAAUGGUGCCUUCCUCAAAUAAGCGAAGCGUUUCUUCAACACCCCUAUGAUCCUCUCCACAACAUUACGUAGCCUGGAAUGCCGACAGUUGUACAGUUCUUCAUCAGUUUCAACAGCCCGAUGUCCUUGUUCUUUGAGAUGGUAUCGAACCCCACGAUAAGGUGUGAGGAAGCCGGGACUUAAUGCAAAGCCAGCAUCCGCAAGGUAAUACUUACCAGGGGGCAAGGUUAAUCUCCUACCUUCACGAGUAACCGCACAUCUCAACAACCGCCCAUCAUGCGCCGACCCUUCCCACCCAGCUAGAACGUAAGUGAAUCUCAUGUCGAACGUACAUCCAAUUAGAACAUUCUGGGAUAUCACUCCUUUCCGAUUACGAUACCUCGGUUGAUCAUCAAGGGGCACUAAGGUGGGGAAGUGGGUACCAUCGAUUGCGCCUACAGCGUCCUAAUUAACAAUUUACUUGGUCAGAAAAAUACGAAAGAGUUUUUCGUACCUAUAAGAAGAUGAUAAAAUACGAAAUAAUUUUUCGUACCUUGAAAUACUGAUGCCAAAAGACAUCCCCAGGACCGUCAUUGAGGGGUGAGUUCUCAGCCGUGGCGUUGACAACCACUUGCCUAUACAAUUUUAGACAAGCAUUCAAAACCAAGUGGAAGUAAUGGCUCACGGUUUGUCCAGAACGCCUAAACUCGUGACGUGUUCUUCUACACCGAUUGUCAUGGCCGACUAUGAGCAAGAACAUUGCAACUUGUUCUUCAACUGACACAUACCGAGAGUCGGAUAAACCCAAAGUCUUCAACCUAGCACAUAACCGAUGGAAUGCAAAACGCCUCAUCCUCAAUUGGUCAUGGCAAUCGUUGUCGUUAUCGGUGUAGAACCGGGCUAAGGUUCGCCCACGCGACGAAUCUCUAUUAUAGGUAUAGGGAGCCCUAGGACCUCUAGGAACACGUUCACGUCUCGUUCCAAUAUAGUGCAUUAACCAAUCGACAGCUACAAUUACAAUCGUAGCUGCAACGAUACGUUCAUCCUCGGUAGGCAUUCUACAGAACAUGUGGUAAGUUUAUUUGGUUAAUAAUUUUAAUUGUUAGUAGUGUAUGAAUGCGUAAGAGUGCUUUUUAAAUGAAAAAUUAUUAUAAAAACUGGUUAAUAAUUUACAUCAUCAAUUUCACUUUUUACAUAAAUCUCACAAGACAAAUAACAAUUUAAUUAACAAUGCAAUAACAACAACCAACAUAACCAACACCAACUUCUUGACCCACCACCAAAAGUCGUCCACCACAACAACAUUGUUUAAGGGCCGAUGACUGACUAGUGGAGAUAGAGGUGCUUGAGAUUGAGCGGCGGAUUGGUAAGAUUGACCAGAAUGUUCAGACGGUUCUGGCGCAGGAAUGUAAGACUGGGACAUAAGAUGAUUGGGAUCACACAUAAGGCCAGAAGGUUGAUAGAAACCAUUUGUAAGAUGUUGCUGAAGCAUAUGCCUUGCUUCAGCAAUGGUAUAAGCACCACGCCAGUCAGCGUUGCUAAAGCCGUCCGUCUGUGACUUGCACUCCUCCCAAGUUCUGUAGAUACCCGGACAGAACCCACGACGCACAACAUAAUAGGAAUAUUUACCCAUUCUCUGAAAAGUGGUAAUUAGAUGUUUUCAACAUAAUGAGUUUAUAUAUAUCAGCUUUCAAUUUAUUUUCAGCUUUCAAUUUAUUUAACUAUAUUUUCAGAUUUCAAUUUAACUAUUCUUUCAGAUUUCAAUUUUUAUUUAACUUUAGAUUUUGUUAACAUUAUGAGUUACCAUUACAUCAACUUAUUUCUUAUAAUAUAGUUCUCACAACUAAUCAAGUUACUAGUCUGUACUAUGUGUGUAAUUAAGAAAUAACUAAUACAAUCAUUAGUCUGUAUAUGCGUAGGAAUUAAUAUAAAGUCCUACGAUGUGUGUACAAACUAAUCAGGAUACUAGUAUGUACUAUUAUUUGUGUAAACAAUUAACAAUCUAUAGAUGACAAAAACAAUCUAUAUUAAAAAAAAUUCUUAAAGAAUUAUUAUAUGUUGAAACUUGAAAGCAUGAUUAUAUAAUAAAAACAAUCUAAACUCAAUUCAUAUACAUCACUUAAUUAUUAAAACAUGUCGGUAGAUACCUACUGCAUAUACAGAUACCUACUGCUGACAAAAACAUGUUUUCUAAUCUGCACUAAUACAUGGUAAAAGAAAUAACCAACCUUGAAAAGCAAAUGACGAGAGAAAGUAAAGACGAGUGAAGGGGAGAAAGCGAUGGACAAGAGAAAGCGAAGCUGCCAAAAAACAUUCAUAUAUCACUACUGCAUACAAUUUUUAGAACAAAUAAAAUAAUAAAAAAAAAACUCAAAUCAAAAUCAUACAUUUUUGAGCUGAUGUUUAAACGAUACUGGUCUGCAAAAGAUACUGGUCUGCAAAAGAAAAAUCCGUGCGACAAAAACACACAUAAACAUUCAUCAGAUAUUAUCAACAUAGAAUCUAGACAUUACAUACAAAUAUAGACAAACAAAAGAAUUUUUAGAAAGGUGCAAAAAUGUAGGAGGAUAUACCAGUAAGAAUCAUGAACAAUGUGAUACAGUAUAGGAACAACUACUACCAUGUUGCUACCAAACACUAUGUGCAAAUAUAACAAGAAAAAAAUCUGAGUACAAUUUAAACUUGCUCGGUUAUUCCAUUCUUUGCUGAAUAAGAAAUUAAGCAGGUAGAGAUAUACAUACAGUAACACUAUUAUAUUGGUCAUUGGUGUACGUAAGUGUAGUUGUAUCAAAAUCAAACCAUCAUUCUAGUAUAUAUUAUAGUAGCAGUAGCAGUAGCAGUAGUGGAUUAAAAUAUCUGACGAUUUAUCUAUCUAUCGCAGUACACGGGACAUUUCUGGGCAGUAAUGAACAUUUGUAUUACAUAUGAUGAAAAAAGAUGUUCUCUUGGAUUUUUAUAGUCUCCCUCAUUUGUGCUAAUGAGUCUGGCUGAUUUGUCUGUCAAUCAAUUCACACUGUAAUUUUUUUUCAGUACGUGCUCCUAAAGGUAAGUUGUUUUUUCGCACUUUUGAAUCACAUGUUGAUGUUCUUGUGGAGAGCAACAAUGCACCAAGCUGUCAGUGGUCUAGUAACUGUGCUCGUAAAUUAUUUAAAAGAUUUGUAUAGCCUUCCAAGGUGCUUUUUGCUACCAAUUUAGCUACACACCCCCUCAUUGCCAAUUCCUUUUUCAGUAUAAUUUCAAAUUUAACAUACACCAAUACAUAUAGCUGGAUUGCUACUGUUGAUGAUAAAUUUAGUAGCAAGACCAUCAAUAAUUCUAGUACUUAUUACUAACUACCUUUCACACCAAAACCUAGUUAUCUGCCUAAUCUGAUAAUUUAGGAACUUUAGUUGCAUUACCUCUCAUCAUCUGCAGAAUCCAAAUACAGUAAAUGUUAGGGUCCUGAUCCUGCAAAAAAAUGAAUGAAAUUUCUAAGUUAACAUCAUCAGAACAAAGAGCAUGUCUUGUAAAAGUGUUUAACCUGCCUUAUUGAAAGUAAUUCAAUCACUUCAAUUAUUGCAAAGACGCAAGCAAAUAUCUACCUGACUAACAUUAAUAUAUGUAUAUAUACUCUCAAGAGUCGAGAGUCAAGACUACUACUACAAUGCACACUACACAUUAACACACUCAAUGAUUCAACAACCAAUUACUCUUCCCUCCAACCAGUCAGUUCUAGAUUUCUAGCUCCCAUGUAUGUCAGUUUCUCCCUCAACAUCCCCGCUAUCCAGUAAAAAAUAAUAUGAUGAAUGAGCACAAUAAGACAGCACAACUACAUCAAAAAGAGCACGUGAAAACCACCAAUAUGAUAAACAGGAAAGACAACUUCCACAAUUUGGCCUAAUUUGAGUGUACUUAAGCACAUCAACGUUCAUAGCACUGUGGAAGAUGAUCACAACCAUUAAAAUAAUCUUCUGUUUAAAAUUCAAGGAUGGUUUCAAAUAAGACCAACCACAACUAAUCAAUGUCAGCAAGAUAGCAAAAGGAACUUCACUAAACAAAACUCCCCCGUAAGCUAAAGUGGUAACGAAAAAGCCUUGUGAGUAGCCAAAGUGUUUGAUGAAAAUAUUCCGAACUAGCCCAGUUAAAUGACUCAACACUUUGAUGAUCAAAACUACAAGUAUAGCAAUGUGAAUGCGCAAAAGUUGAUUCCCUUUCAGUUUGAUAUAAUAAACAUGAAUAUUCCAAAGCGAAAAGAAAAUCAAACACAUAUAAAUCAUUAAACACAAAGUGAAUCCUAGGAAGUAAAACCUUGGUCCCGGAUAAAUAAUUCCUCUUAUCAAAUUCAAGAUCAUACAUAGAGCUUUUUACAACCAUGGAAAACCGAAACUCCUUGUUAGAAAGAUAAUUAAUGAAAUAAAGACUGUAGAGUUCUUGUUGUUGUUUUUCUUCUUUAUCUUCAUUGGAGAAAACGAAAUCAAAGUUUUUGGUACCAUUGAUGAGUUUAUGAAAAGAGAAACCUGCUAUAGACUUUUCAAUAAUACUAUAAUCAUCAUAUCUAGUAAAGAGAAAGAAACCAACUGUAGAGAAAUUCAAGUUGAGAUUUGAAUUGGAAAGAUAGAUAUCAGAAACAUUAAUUUCUAUACGACCUCAUUUUCCUCCAUUAGUGAAUUGAAAAGAAUCAAUGAAUAAUAUACUUUAAACAGAAACAUUAUUGUUAAAUAUACUUUAAACAGAUAUCAAUUGAAAAGAAUCAAUGAAUAAUAGAUAUCAGAAACAUUAUUGUUAAAUAUAUUUGAAUUCAUAUCAUAUACACGAAUCUCUGCAAAUGUAAACGUGAAUUGCAUGCAAUUGGAGUGAUUUUAAACAGAAUCUAGGGUUAGGGUUAUAGUCGAUAAUGAUAUAUCAGAAAACCCCAAUCUAGGGUUAGGUUUUUCGAAAAAAAAUUCAAAAUUUUCGAUUCAAACAACAAGUAGAAAACAACAAGUAAAGAAAGAACAACAACAACAACCAAAUCAAACAAAGAAGAGAAGAAGAAGAUGAAGAAGAAGAAGAAGAAGAAGAAGAAGAAGAAAUCUGUUUGAAAAAUACUAACCUCAAAACUUCGAAAAAGUAUAAAGAAGAAGAAGAAGAUGAAUAAUAUGAAGAAGAUAAACAAGAAGAAGGAGAAAUAUACCUGUUUUAGGGUUCGAAAUCGGUGUCGCCAGGUUAAUCGCCUCUACUGCGCCGCCAUCACCUGUUCUAGGGUUUUUUCUUGUUUAAGCUUGGUUGUUUUUGGCAAAGAUGUAAUAUAUACUUGGCAAAUUGUAGAGGGUUAAGUGGCAAAGCAAAUUUUGCCUGGGGGGUACCCAAGCAAA
rnacentral:lncRNA from 1 species